UACGUAGGGACCAAGCGUUGUUCGGAUUUACUGGGCGUAAAGGGCGCGUAGGCGGCGUGUUAAGUCAGCUGUGAAAUCUCCAAGCUUAACUUGGAACGGUCAGCUGAUACUGAUGUGCUAGAGUGCAGAAGGGGCAAUCGGAAUUCUUGGUGUAGCGGUGAAAUGCGUAGAUAUCUGAAGGAACACCAGUGGCGAAAGCGGCUUCCUGGUCCAGUACCGACGUUCAGGCACGAAAGCGUGGGGAGCAAACAGG
rnacentral:rRNA from 1 species